UACGUAGGGGGCUAGCGUUGUCCGGAAUUAUUGGGCGUAAAGAGCGUGUAGGCGGCCAGAUAGGUCCGUUGUGAAAACUCGAGGCUCAACCUCGAGACGCCGAUGGAAACCAUCUGGCUAGAGUCCGGAAGAGGAGAGUGGAAUUCCCGGUGUAGCGGUGAAAUGCGCAGAUAUCGGGAAGAACACCCGUGGCUAAGGCGGCUCUCUAGUACGGUACUGACGCUGAGACGCGAAAGCGUGGGGAGCGAACAGG
rnacentral:rRNA from 1 species